UGUCCGUCAUGUAAAUAAUGUUUGUAAAAAACCCUAUCGCUGAGUAGCAAAACUAUAAUUAGUCCAACAGACCUUAACCGUCUAUAAACAUAUAUAAAUUUAGGCGUAUACCAACCCACUCACUCCAACUGAUACAAGAUUAAUUAAAAACGGAUACACCUUCCUAGCCAAUCAAAAUUCAGUAUCCUAAUUAGAAUAAAACAAUAGCUUGAACCGGAAACAAUUUUGUAGCCAAUCAGAUCGUACAUCAAACAAUCCUGUACUGGGCUGAAGGCGCAGUACAGUUUGAGAUUCCAUUUCUCGAUCAAUUUGGUGGAGACCGUACUUGAGUGAAGGUGUUAUUUCGAGGAAUUCGAGAGGUUUAUAGAAGCGCGAGUAGUAACUUUAAAACAAGCUUGCUUAGAGUUUUGAUGCGCGUUCGUGACUUGGAUUGUGAUAGUUUUGAACUAGAAUUGGUCUGAAUUAAGGUCCGUUAACCCAUUCAACGUGGGUGUUUGGUCUGGGGACCAGUGACACACGGGCGUAGCUGGAAGGCAAGCAGCUGGUUCUCCGCCAAAUUUCAUCCGGGAACGCAACCAUCCCGUCGAUAUUCGUCCGGGAAAACACGAAUCCCGCCUACCGGCCAUCGCUACAUCGGCCGAGCUGUGCGGCCUUCCAAUCCUUCCCGCCCUCCGUGGUCCAUGCGGUCACAGUCACACCGCUAGAAUCGUUCCGGAUCGCCAUCCUUCAAACCGUCGCAUCCGUCGUUGGAACACCGUCGUGGCUGGCCAGCGAUACCA